rnacentral:tRNA from 1 species
GCAGUCGUGGCCGAGGGGUUAAGGCGGUGGACUAGAAAUCCAUUGGGGUCUCCCCACACAGGUUCGAAUCCUGUCAACUGCG